rnacentral:rRNA from 1 species
AACGUAGGGGGCGAGCGUUGCCCGGAUUCACUGGGCGUAAAGCGGGUGUAGGCGGUUCUUUAAGUCGGAUGUGAAAUCCUACGGCUCAACCGUGGAACUGCAUCCGAUACUGGGGAACUUGAGGACGGUAGAGGUCGGUGGAAUUCCAGGUGUACCGGUGAAAUGGGCAGAUAUCUGGAGGAACACCUGCGGCGAAGGCGGGUUGCUGGGCUGACACUGACGCUGAUGCGCGAAAGCCAGGGGAGCGAACGGG